rnacentral:rRNA from 1 species
UACAUAGACCUCAAGCGUUAUCCGGAUUUACUGGGCGUAAAGCGUGCGUAGGCGGCUUCGUUAGUCCUCGGUGAAAUCUCCGGGCCCAACUCGGAAAUUGUCGAGGAUACCGCGAAGCUUGAGUGCGACAGAGGCAGACGGAAUGCUUGGUGUAGCGGUAAAAUGCGUAGAUAUCAAGCAGAACACCGAUGGCGAAGGCAGUCUGCUGGGUCGCCACUGACGCUGAGGUACGAAAGCGUGGGUAGCGAACGGG